rnacentral:lncRNA from 1 species
GAAUUUUGCCUAUUUAAAACAUUGUUUUGCGAUCGCAAAAGUGAUCGCAAAACAGUCAUCGUAUAGCGGUUUCGUCAUUUAAUGAGGUAAUCGUUAAGCGAGGCACCACUGUACGUUAAAUGACAUGGUUGUGGCCCAUGGGUUUUCCUUCUGAGACAACAUGCCCAGAAUAGUACUGGUAGUCCCUCUAGAGAUGGGCACGAGCCGCCAAUUUGGCCGUUCACGCCAGUUCAUUUAGUGGCCAAACGGGCUGUGGCCAUCCACUGAUGGAGGCAGGGCUGGGAAUCGCCAAACACCUGUUCGGCCACUAAAUAAACUGGCACGAUCCACUGAACCGACUCUUUGUGCCCAUCUCUAGAGUUAUGCAGUGAACUAAUUUGCAGCUUGCGCGAUCAAGUGAAUUUAAAUUGUCAGGUCCCUUGCAUUUGGAAAUUUUCCUUUGGUUCAUGCAGGAACAUUACUCACAGUCGUUUGUGUGUAGGCAUGUUGUAUAAUCCCAUCAAACAGAAAUAACAAAUGUUGAUUUCUCUCCCCCCCCCCCCCCCCUUCUCUGUUGAGUGUUUUGCUGCUCUCCUACGCGUUCAUACGUUACUCGGAGCCGAACAGUGUACAGAAAUACAGUAACUAUUCUUGAAGAUGGUGUCUUAUGUAAGCUGUGUCUAAUGUUGGAGGAGCAAAAGAAUAUAAUGUGGAAGAAGGAUCCAGUUGGCAUGGAAACUGGAUUUUCCUCUUCACAACCUCCUCUUGAACUGUUCCGGUGUAACACCAAGUUUCAUGUUGAAACAACCCUUAUGUGACUCAGAGUCUCAAGAUAAAGGCUGAGAGGUGGUUUCACAGCUCCAUAGGAUCGCCACGAACAACCCAUCACAGCAUCAAGCUUUGCCGCUCAAUGACUCCCUCACUGUGGGUCUCGUUAUCUGCUAAAUUAUGAUAUUGAUGGUCUUUGACUAAGGCUGCCAUUUUUAUUCAUGCCACAGUUCUCACCCACUGUGUACCUCUGACACAUUCUCGGGGUUGGGGGUAGAUGUUACAAAAGAAAUUAGGUAUGAAACAGCUCGAAGGAGAAAAAGAUAACUUUUGAUCCUAUUCUAGAAACAUGGUGAGUAAAAUCAAGAGGUGACUGUGCAGAAUAAAACAUACUAAUAAAGAAGGUAUAAGGUUUUU